AGAUGUUGGCGAUGGAGAUAGGAAGAUCGAGGAGCGUAUCAGCGAACGUCGACGGGUGCAGUUGUAGGUGCCACCUCUUUGGUUAAGGGCCAGGCGGGUCCUAAUGAAUAACGCUAAGGAUGUUGGCGAUGGAUAAGGAAGAUAGGGGAGCGUAUCAGUGAACGUCGACGGGUGCAGUUGUAGGUGCCACCUCUUCGGUAACGGCCAGGCGGAUCCUAAUUAAUAAAGCUAAGAUGUUGGCGAUGGAGAUAGGAAGAUCGGGGAGCGUACCAGCGAUCGUCGACUGAUGCAGUUGUAGGUGCCACCACCUCUUUGGUUAAGGGCCAGACGGGUCCUAAUGAAUAACGCCAAGGAUGUUAGCGACGGAGAUAGGAAGAUCGGGGAGCGUAUCAGCGAACGUCGACGGGUGCAGUUGUAGGUGCCAUCUCUUCGGUAACGGCCAGGCGGAUCCUAAUUAAUAAAGCUAAGAAGUUGGCGAUGAAGAUACGAAGAUCGGGGAGCCUAUCAACGAACAUCGAUGGGUGCAGUUGUGGGGUGCCACCUCUUGGGAUGCUGACGACCAGGCGGGACCGUAUUAAUAAGGCUAAGGAUUCCAGAAGGGCAGCCUUAUAAAGGUAGGAUCUUUCCUUUUAUACAUUGUCUAUUGUAUUUUAUUUUGUGUGCAUAAGUGAAUACCAAACAAAUGAACAACUACUAUUGUCGUAAUAAGUAAGUUGCGGCUACCUCCUCAACUUCAUCUUGGUGACGUGAGAUUGACUACAAUGGUUUUUCGCGGUCUCAUUUAGUUUACUUCACAUUAACCUAAUGCUAUGAGUUCAUAGCCAUACCAGUUGUGUGAAGUGAACGGUUUUCCCGGCGAAAAUCAUUGAGGUCAAAUUUUACGUUCUCAGGAUGAGGGACAUUGGAGGUGGUUAUACCUUACUUAUUAUUACACGAAGAUGAAGAUACUGGUGCCUAAAGCAAGGUGAGUGCAAUCACGAAGGGCGUGUUCGUUUAUUAAUUAAUUAUCUCAUCGGAACCGGUGUAUGAAUACAUUCGGUUGAUUAAUAAGCUAACACGACCCAUUUCAUUACUUUCAAGAAGCACGCAUAGGUCGUUGUACUAAUCUCAUCAUUUGUGCGCAGGGUCAGCGGUGGACGUCCCGCAAGAUGUAGUCACCUGCAGCCAUACUGG